rnacentral:rRNA from 1 species
UCCGGGGGGGGCAAGCGUUGUUCGGAAUUACUGGGCGUAAAGGGCUCGUAGGCGGCCAACUAAGUCAGACGUGAAAUCCCUCGGCUUAACCGGGGAACUGCGUCUGAUACUGGAUGGCUUGAGAUUGGGAGAGGGAUGCGGAAUUCCAGGUGUAGCGGUGAAAUGCGUAGAUAUCUGGAGGAACACCGGUGGCGAAGGCGGCAUCCUGGACCAACACUGACGCUGAGGAGCGAAAGCCAGGGGAGCAAACGGG